rnacentral:tRNA from 1 species
AAUAGUAUAGUAUGAAAAAGUAUAUUUGAUUUCCAAUCAAAAGGUUUAAAUGUUUUUAAUAUUAUUA